GUCUACGACCAUACCACGUUGAAAGCACCGGUUCUCGUCCGAUCACCGAAGUUAAGCAACGUCGGGCCAGGUUAGUACUUGGAUGGGUGACCGCCUGGGAAUGGGCAAUGACC
rnacentral:rRNA from 1 species